GGUUGACCUCGGAUCAGGUAGGAAUACCCGCUGAACUUAAGCAUAUCAAUAAGCGGAGGAAAAGAAACCAACAGGGAUUGCCCCAGUAACGGCGAGUGAAGCGGCAACAGCUCAAAUUUGAAAUCUGGCCUCGGCCCGAGUUGUAAUUUGCAGAGGAUGCUUUUGGCGCGGUGCCUCCCGAGUCCCCUGGAACGGGGCGC
rnacentral:rRNA from 1 species